ensembl:lncRNA
AAAUACUGCAUCUCCAAGAACAUUGAAAUUCUUAAAAGUAGAAGUGAUGUCAUAUUCUUAUGAGGAUUCCAUUGUACUUAUCACAGAGCUAGUAUUUGGUAAAAAAAUUUGUUAAAUUGAUUUCCUGCUUUAUUUAUUAAAUAUCUCUGUCACAUAUUUCAGGCAAUUCUCAACCCUUCCAAAAUCAGCCAAACAAAAUACGUCAUUGCUUUAAGAAAUUUUCUUAUGACUCAGCCUUUGAAACACCCAUAGGAUAGGAUAUCUCUCCAUAAAAAAGGCUUAGGUUUAUUUUUCUAAGGCUCAGUUAGGCAUGGUUGUUAGUGUAUUUCCCCAAGGUACAGUUGAGAAUAGCUUUUGUUAUAGUUCCAUCAAGUACUGGUUGAUGUUUUCUCUCUGUUUUCUUAAGGGUUAGCUGAGCAUGAUUUUGGUAUGAUUAUUUCAAUGAAUCAAUACUCUGAGAAGAGCAUCCCAGAUGAAUCAUGGGGAGAUAUAAGGUCUUUGCAUUUCUGUCUGAAAAUCUCUAAUGUUGAAGGUCACUGCUUGGGCUGAGGUGACUGGAGUGCAAGAACAUACCAAAAUCUGAAGGUAGCUCAUUCAUUAAUUUAUUUAUUCAUUCAAUGCAUAAAUAUUAAGUGCCCGUUCUGUGCUAACCACUAUUAUAGGAAAACCAUUAAAAAAAAGAAGCCUGGUGAAAAGAACUCUCUGGGUAGAAGAUGGCUUGAAUCAUUUGUCAGGAAUUGUUAGCCUCGGGUUGUCUAUCUAGGUGGUAUUCAGUUAUAUUCCUUGACCCUAGACUUUCCGUCUAGGAUUUGGUAAGUCUUAGGUAUGAUUCAUCAUCUUCAAGCAUGACUGGCAUCUCAGUACAGAUUGAGGACCAUGGUUAUGAACUACUAGAUUAUUUCUUGCUCAAAAUUAUAUGCCUUUUCCUUGGCUUAUCAUUAUUAUUAUCAUUAUCAUCUUUUUAGGGCCGAACCUGAGGCAUGUGGAAGUUCCCAGGCUAGG